CUGUGUGCAAGGCAAAUGCCCUACCACUGUGCUAUCGCUCUAGCCCGGCAGAUAGAACAUGAUAAUUGGAGUUUGCAUGAUUCAUGAUUAAGGUCUCUCCAUUAUUAGGGCUCAUGACACCUAAUCACUCCUACCUGAU